GUGAACAUAAUUUAAGAAAAAAUUCUAGUCUGUGACUCUAGAUAUGGGAACUAAUUACUUCCUGUUCACC
rnacentral:tRNA from 1 species